AGCAUUUCGGACGGGAUAAUCCCCGUGUCUUUGAUAUGGUUAAAUAAUUUGGUAAGAUGCGGUGUUAGUUGUGUGAUUAGUGACUUGUAAAGGGAGUUUGGGAAACCAUCUGGGCCGGGUGCUUUAUGUUUGGGUAGUAAACUGAUGGUCCUGUGUACUUCCUCCUCUGUGAAUGGUGUUUGAAGGUAUGUUUUUUGAGCGUCUGUGAGGAGGGGUAGAUCUAC